rnacentral:rRNA from 1 species
GAUGAACGCUAGCUACGGGCUUAACACAUGCAAGUCGAGCGGCAGCAUGCUGCUAGCUUGCUACGCCCGAUGGCGACCGGCGCAUGGGUCAGUAACACGUAUCCAACCUCUUGUCUACACUCCUGCAGCCCUCUGUAAGGUAGCGUAAUACAAGCUGGCAUCAUGAGUUGGCUUGUUCACAUGAUCAAUGUUAUUCCGGUUGACGAUGGGGCUGCGUUCCAUUAGAUAGUAGGCGUGGCAACGCGCCACCUAGUCUUCGAUGGAUAGGGGUGCUGAGAGGAAGGUCCCCAACAUUGGAACUGAGACACGGUCCAAACUCCUACGGGAGGCAGCAGUGAGGGAUAUUGGUCAAUGGGCGCAGGCCUGAACCAGCCAAGUAGCGUGAAGGAUGACUGCCCUAUGGGUUGUAAACUUCUUUUAUAAAGGAAUAAAGUCGGGUAUGUAUACCCGUUUGCAUGUACUUUAUGAAUAAGGAUCGGCUAACUCCGU